rnacentral:rRNA from 1 species
UACGUAGGGUGCGAGCGUUGUCCGGAAUUAUUGGGCGUAAAGAGCUCGUAGGCGGUGUGUCACGUCGUUCGUGAAAACCUGCAGCUUAACUGUGGGCGUGCGGUCGAUACGGGCAUCACUGGAGUUCGGCAGGGGAGACUGGAAUUCCUGGUGUAGCGGUGAAAUGCGCAGAUAUCAGGAGGAACAUCGGUGGCGAAGGCGGGUCUCUGGGCCGAUACUGACGCUGAGGAGCGAAAGCGUGGGGAGCGAACAGG